rnacentral:hammerhead_ribozyme from 1 species
AUCUAGAUGACGAGUCCCAAAUAGGAGGGAAUAUGCAUUCUGGAU